rnacentral:snoRNA from 1 species
AGACCAUGAUGAGGACAACGCCAAAGCAAAUCCUUGUAUCUUUCCUAGGCCUCAUACACCAAUUCAAAGUUAAGUUGCAUGAAAGAAGUAAUAUCAUUCCUCAUCUU